GAUGAACGCUGGCGGCGUGCCUAAUACAUGCGAGUCGAGCGAACGGACGAGAAGCUUGCUUCUCUGAUGUUAGCGGCGGACGGGUGAGUAACACGUGGAUACCCUACCUAUAAGACUGGGAUAACUUCGGGAAACCGUAGCUAAUACCGGAUAAUCUUUUGAACCGCAUGGUUCAAAAGUGAAAGACGGUCUUGCUGUCACUUAUAGAUGGAUCCGGGCUGCAUUGGCUAGUUGGUAAGGUAACGGCCUACCACGGCAACGAUGCAUAGCCGACCUGAGAGGGUGAUCGCCCACCCUAGAACUGAGACACGGUCCAGACUCCUACGAGAGGCAGCAGUAGGGAAUCUGCCGCAGUGGGCGAAAGCCUGGCGGAGCAACGCCGCGUGAGUGAUGAAGGUCUUCGGAUCGUAAAACUCUGUUAUUAGGGAAGAACAGAUGUGUAAGUAACUGUGCACAUCGUGACGGUACCGAAUCAGAAAGCCACGGCUAACUACGUG
rnacentral:rRNA from 1 species